CCUACGGGUGGCAGCAGUAGGGAAUUUUCGGCAAUGGGGGAAACCCUGACCGAGCAACGCCGCGUGAAGGAAGAAGGUAUUCGUAAUGUAAAGUUCUUUUAACAGGGAAGAAAGAGAAAUUUGACGGUACCUAAAGAAUAAGCUACGGCUAACUACGUGCCAGCAGCCGCGGUAAUACGAAGGGAGCGAGCGUUAUCCGGAGUUAUUGGGCGUAAGGGGUGCGUAGAUGGCAUAGUAAGUCUUUUGUAAAAACUCUGGGAUCAACCCAGUAGGGCAAAAGAUACUGCAAAGCUAGAGUAUGACAGAGGCAAGUGGAACUACAGGUGUAGCGGUAAAAUGCGUAGAUAUAUGUAAGAACACCAGUGGCGAAGGCGGCUUGCUGGGUCGUUACUGACGCUGAGGCACGAAAGCGUGGGGAGCAAACAGGAUUAGAUACCCUAGUAGUC
rnacentral:rRNA from 1 species